UUUUCGUUUGGUGUCUCAGCUGUUGGAUAACCGCGAGAAGAAGAAGCACGCGAUGGUUGAGAAUUUUGAUCUUGAAGCUGCGUGGCGUAUGGUUGCAGAACUGCAGAGGCAGCUGGAUGAGCAAAGACAAAUUAAAGAGGCCAACAGACGUGCACAGCCUCCUCCACCACCUUCACUACUCGAUUACAUGUACCAAUCUCAAGUUGGGCAAUUUGAUGGAGGUGGACGGGGGUCAGCUAUGCAGGCAAACACUUUUGAAUUGGAGGAGAUGGCCUCCAAUAGCUACCAAUUGCCACAUGAUCGGAGCU
rnacentral:lncRNA from 1 species